rnacentral:rRNA from 1 species
CUAUCACGCUAGUGGUGGUGGAGUCGUUGUUGAAAUACCACUCUGAUCGGAUUGAGCAUCUAACCUUGGCCCAUGAUCUGGGUUGGGGACAGUGCCUGGUGGGUAGUUUAACUGGGGCGGUUGCCUCCUAAAGAGUAACGGAGGCGCCCAAAGGUUCCCUCAGCCUGGUUGGCAAUCAGGUGGUGAGUGUAAGUGCACAAGGGAGCUUGACUGUGAGACUGACAGGUCGAGCAGGGACGAAAGUCGGGACUAGUGAUCCGGCGGUACAUUGUGGAAUGGCCGUCGCUCAACGGAUAAAAGGUACCUCGGGGAUAACAGGCUGAUCUUGCCCAAGAGUCCAUAUCGACGGCAUGGUUUGGCACCUCGAUGUCGGCUCGUCGCAUCCUGGGG